rnacentral:rRNA from 1 species
CGCGUAGGCGGUUGGAUAAGUCAGCUGUGAAAACCACGGGCUUAACUCGUGGCCUGCAGUUGAGACUGUCUGGCUUGAGUGUGGGAGAGGAGAGUGGAAUUCCUGGUGUAGCGGUGAAAUGCAUAGAUAUCAGGAGGAACACCGGUGGCGAAGGCGGCUCUCUGGACCACAACUGACGCUGAGGCGCGAAAGCUAGGGGAGCAAACA